CUAAGCAGUUGUGACAAGCAAGAGAAGCACUUUUAGUCCUGUUGUUCUGAUAUUAAAGCAGAACAGAUAGACUUGUCUGCAAUCAUGCAAGAAGCCAAGGUUGGAACAGCACCUUGAAAUUAGGUUGCUGCUUGUCAGAUCUGAAUUUUCAUCACAAGCCUGCGUAUAUGUAUUUGUCUUUGAGCAUACUAUAUAUAAUAUUGCACCAGACCUGGAUAAUAUUGCAGCGGAUCUGGGGUAUAUAAUAUUGCACUAGACUUGGAUGAAUGCUCGCUCACAGAGUUGUUUCUGCAAAGCAAUUCCAAGCGCACUGAAUGCAGACCUCUCUGAAUACUUUGCAGUCAGCUCUGCGCAGCGUGUUAUCAAAGCGUGGAAUUCACUGCCAUAAGAGGAUAUUGAGUCAAAGGCUGUAGCUGAGUUUCCUGAAGGGCUGAAAACAGGCUGAUUAGUUUAGGCAAAGGGACCGCCUUUCUGCUUUUGGUUUUGGUUUGAACAGGGUCUAUGGCUGCUGGGUCCAAUGGUGGGUGCUGAUGCUGAGCUGUCAAAUAGGCAAUUUUCCAGUUGCAGCUUUCACUGGGAGAAGAGUCUCUUUCCACUUACUGACUUUUUGAUUGUUUGCCCAGGAUUGGUAGGAAGAGAUUUUUUUCUUGCUCAGAAGAGAAACUUCGUCAGAAGUUUCUCACAUGACUUUUGGCAUAUGUGUUGUUCGCUAAAAAGAAAGCACGUACUAGGCUAGACAGGAAAUCUGUUCCUUUGCACUUUCAUUUCUAACAGGGCUAGUGAACUCGGCAUGCAGAGUAGCUGUGAUGAUGGUACAGCUAGGGCUACAGAAUUUUAAAAUCAUUUGUACUCUAGCAAAGAAAAAUACGGGGAUAAAUAAUGGGAAGGAAAGACAAGACAGAAACCACCCAUGAGGUCAGGUGUUUAGGUAUUUUUGGACUGCUAACACAGUGAUCUUAAGUGAAGAUAAUGUAUUAUGCAGUGAAAAGCUAAUGAGACCAGGUCUGUUAAACAGGGACUUGGUGUUACUUGCUUUGGAGUGCUUCAAAUUACACAGGCCUGGGUUGUAUUUGAUCACCUCUCCUGCUUUGACAAAUCACAGGCACGCCACUCAGAUCCCACUGCGAUGUGCUCGGGAGACUCCGUCGGUGCAACCCCAUCCAUCAGUGAGCACACGGCAGGCUGGGACGGAUGGUGACAGCACGGUGCCCGCGACCCCCGCUCCGUGCCAUGCCGUGCCGCGCCGCGGGGGCGCCGGACACUGCAAGCGCAGCCGCCGCCCGCCGCGGAUGCAGCAGCGAGCUCCGUGCGGGGAC
rnacentral:lncRNA from 1 species